rnacentral:rRNA from 1 species
AUUGAACGCUGGCGGAAUGCUUUACACAUGCAAGUCGAACGGCAGCACGGACUUCGGUCUGGUGGCGAGUGGCGAACGGGUGAGUAAUAUAUCGGAACGUGCCCAGUCGUGGGGGAUAACGUAGUGAAAAUUACGCUAAUACCGCAUACGAUCUAUGGAUGAAAGCGGGGGAUCGCAAGACCUCGCGCGAUUGGAGCGGCCGAUAUCAGAUUAGGUAGUUGGUGAGGUAAAGGCUCACCAAGCCGACGAUCUGUAGCUGGUCUGAGAGGACGACCAGCCACACUGGAACUGAGACACGGUCCAGACUCCUACGGGAGGCAGCAGUGGGGAAUUUUGGACAAUGGACGCAAGUCUGAUCCAGCCAUUCCGCGUGCAGGACGAAGGCCUUCGGGUUGUAAACUGCUUUUGUACAGAACGAAAAGGUCUCUAUUAAUACUGGGGGCUCAUGACGGUACUGUAAGAAUAAGCACCGGCUAACUACGUGCCAGCAGCCGCCGUAA